UCUUAAAAGGCCUCUCUCAAACUCUCACAGCCACCGCAUGUAGCGCCUCUGUUCUUCUCUCCACCUCUCCAACCCUUAUCACCUCUGCGCAGCGUCUCUCUUCUUUCCACCUUUCCAACCUUCAUCACCUCCGCUCCUUGCAAGCCUCAUAAAGUGCCUCCCUUGAACCCUCGUGGUUGCCGCCUCUCAUCAUGCACAAUGCCUCUCUUCUUUUCUCCACCACUCCACCUCUCAUCACCUCCAUCUUCCUACGAGGCUCAUGCCGGCGAAGAUCUUGACCCUGACCUCUGCAAGCCCAAGAUUAGAUGAAAGCUUCACCACCAAAAACCUAGUUCAGUGGUGUCCAGGCUAACAAUCCCUGAGUUGGCUUCCAAGUUGAGACAGCUACUCCAUGUUAUGAAGCUAUUUCAAGUUGGAAGGAAAGAAGGAAGGCAAAAACUGAUGCUGCUUAUGGUCCAGUGAAUACAUUCUAAGUAAUAACCCUUUGUUCUCCUUCAAUAUGGUCAAUUGUGUAAGUUACACAUAAUAACAAUAAUGAUUAUUUGAUAUAAUGCAGACUUGUAGUGUUUACCUUAUUGUUGGGAGGGAAUUAAUGCAUGGCUCUUCAUUUUUUA